rnacentral:rRNA from 1 species
GACCUCAGAUCGGGUGGGACUACCCGCUGAACUUAAGCAUAUCAAUAAGCGGAGGAAAAGAAACUAACAAGGAUUCCCCUAGUAACGGCGAGUGAAGAGGGAAAAGCUCAAAUUUUGAAUCUGGUGUCUUUGGCGCCCGAGUUGUAAUCUAGAGAAGUGUUUUCUGCCUCGGACCACACAUAAAUUCCCUGGAAUGGGGUGUCAUAGAGGGUGAGAAUCCCGUUUGUGGUGUGGACUACCUUGGCUCUGUGAUACACUCUCAACGAGUCGAGUUGUUUGGGAAUGCAGCUCAAAAUGGGUGGUAAAUUCCAUCUAAAGCUAAAUACUGGCGAGAGACCGAUAGCGAACAAGUACCGUGAGGGAAAGAUGAAAAGCACUUUGGAAAGAGAGUGAAACAGUACGUGAAAUUGUUGAAAGGGAAGCGU